CUGACCGUAGCUCAGUUGGUAGAGCGCUUGCCUGAAGAGCAGGGCGUCGUGGGUUCGAUCCCUACCGGUCAGGCCA
rnacentral:tRNA from 1 species